rnacentral:misc_RNA from 1 species
CUCUCCCCUUCCUCUUAUUUCUCUCUUUCAUCGUCUCCUCUCCUUCUCCUCCCUUUCUCUUCUUCCUUGGCGGCCUCGAAAUCUUAGCUAAAUUCCUGAACUUAACAAACCCCCUUGAAUUGAACUCCUUUGCUAAUCUUUCCCGAUACAAAACAGGACUUAAUUCUUCACCAUCUCCCUCGGCUCUCCCGUAGAUCCUUC